rnacentral:ncRNA from 1 species
GCGAGGCCCACGACCGGGCCCGCGGACGAGGGAGCCGUACCCGUACCACGACACGACGGACUCGUG